GUGCUCAAUUUGGUAGCACAUAUACUAAAAUUGGAACAAUACAGGGAAGAUUAGCAGGGCCCUGGGCAAAGAUGACACGAAUUCAUGAAACAUUCCAUAUUUUU
rfam:Canis lupus familiaris chromosome 8, whole genome shotgun sequence.